GAUGAACGCUGGCGGCGUGCCUAAUACAUGCAAGUCGAGCGAACGGACGAGAAGCUUGCUUCUCUGAUGUUAGCGGCGGACGGGUGAGUAACACGUGGAUAACCUACCUAUAAGACUGGGAUAACUUCGGGAAACCGGAGCUAAUACCGGAUAAUAUUUUGAACCGCAUGGUUCAAAAGUGAAAGACGGUCUUGCUGUCACUUAUAGAUGGAUCCGCGCUGCAUUAGCUAGUUGGUAAGGUAACGGCUUACCAAGGCAACGAUGCAUAGCCGACCUGAGAGGGUGAUAGGCCACACUGGAACUGAGACACGGUCCAGACUCCUACGGGAGGCAGCAGUAGGGAAUCUUCCGCAAUGGGAGAAAGCCUGACGGAGCAACGCCGCGUGAGUGAUGAAGGUCUUCGGAUCGUAAAACUCUGUUAUUAGGGAAGAACAUAUGUGUAAGUAACUGUGCACAUCUUGACGGUACCUAAUCAGAAAGCCACGGCUAACUACGUG
rnacentral:rRNA from 1 species